CAAGCGCCACAGAGGCCUGGACGUUGCAGUCUCGGGUGGCCCCAGGACCCUGCCUUGCGUGGGACGCUCCCGGGACCUGGAAUUAUCACUCUGAGAAGACGGGGUGGGGGAGCCGAGGGGGCCCAAUACCCCAUGCCGAAAGGCUGCCUGGCGCGGGCCUGCCCUCCGCGCCCGAGGAAGGGCUCCGGGGCGUGCAGAGCUUUGGUCAAGAUCAAAGCAAAGGAAGCUGGAAUUAAAGAAGAGAAAGGAAAAAGCAAGAACAAGGAAAACAAAUCAAAGACAAGACAACAUCCUGGCCGGCCGCCCGGACAGAGCCCUGCGACUCAGGGUCCCCCAUGUCCCUCCAGAGGCUGAGCACGGCCCCAGUAUGGACAGACAGAUAUUGCAUAUAUGGACGGGUUUUUGUCUUUCAUAGCAGACGCUCUUCAUUUUCAUAGCUGGAAGACGGAGUUCGGGGACUAGGGCGCGGAGGCCCCCCCAGGCUGUCUCGGGAUUGGUGGGAAGUAAGGUGCUUUAGUGAGGAGGACGG
rnacentral:lncRNA from 1 species